rnacentral:rRNA from 1 species
AGUGAGCGCUGGCGGUGGGCCUAACACAUGCAAGUCGAACGGCAGCACAGUAAGAGCUUGCUCUUACGGGUGGCGAGUGGCGGACGGGUGAGGAAUACAUCGGAAUCUACUUUUUCGUGGGGGAUAACGUAGGGAAACUUACGCUAAUACCGCAUACGACCUACGGGUGAAAGCAGGGGAUCUUCGGACCUUGCGCGAUUGAAUGAGCCGAUGUCGGAUUAGCUAGUUGGCGGGGUAAAGGCCCACCAAGGCGACGAUCCGUAGCUGGUCUGAGAGGAUGAUCAGCCACACUGGAACUGAGACACGGUCCAGACUCCUACGGGAGGCAGCAGUGGGGAAUAUUGGACAAUGGGCGCAAGCCUGAUCCAGCCAUACCGCGUGGGUGAAGAAGGCCUUCGGGUUGUAAAGCCCUUUUGUUGGGAAAGAAAAGCAGCAGGUUAAUACCCCGCUGUUCUGACGGUACCCAAAGAAUAAGCACCGGCUAACUUCGUG